CCUACGGGAGGCAGCAAUGGGGGAUAUUGCACAAUGGGGGAAACCCUGAUGCAGCGACGCCGCGUGGGUGAAGAAGCGCCUCGGCGCGUAAAGCCCUGUCAGCAGGGAAGAAAAUGACGGUACCUGAAGAAGAAGCCCCGGCUAACUACGUGCCAGCAGCCGCGGUAAUACGUAGGGGGCAAGCGUUAUCCGGAUUUACUGGGUGUAAAGGGGGCGCAGACGGCGAUGCAAGCCAGGAGUGAAAGCCCGGGGCCCAACCCCGGGAAUGCUCUUGGAAAUGCGUGGCGAGAGUGCAGGAGGGGCAGGCGGAAUUCCUGGUGUAGCGGUGAAAUGCGUAGAUAUCAGGAGGAACACCGGUGGCGAAGGCGGCCUGCUGGACUGCAACUGACGUUGAGGCCCGAAAGCGUGGGGAGCAAACAGGAUUAGAUACCCGAGUAGUC
rnacentral:rRNA from 1 species